rnacentral:tRNA from 1 species
GCCGAUGUGAUGAAAUUGGUAGACGUGCUAGACUCAAAAUCUUGUGUGGUUUGCGCCACGUGCCGGUUCGACUCCGGCCAUCGGCACCA